rnacentral:rRNA from 1 species
UACGUAGGGUGCGAGCGUUGUCCGGCAUUAUUGGGCGUAAAGGGCGUGUAGGCGGUCCGGUAAGUCAGCUGUGAAAGUCAAGGGCUCAACCCUUGAAAGCCGGUUGAUACUGUCGGGCUAGAGUUCGGAAGAGGCGAGUGGAAUUCCUGGUGUAGCGGUGAAAUGCGCAGAUAUCAGGAGGAACACCAAUUGCGAAGGCAGCUCGCUGGGACGUAACUGACGCUGAGACGCGAAAGCGUGGGGAGCGAACAGG